rnacentral:lncRNA from 1 species
CUAGAUACGCAAGUUCAUGGUAGGAGCCUUCAUCAGAUUCAAGACAGGAAUUGCAAGAGCCUGGAGAAAGCAUAGCCAGGACUGACUGGAUGAACAACUGCCAUACAGACCCUCCUGGCUCCACACCCCCGGAGGGCCUCAACUCACCUCGGCGCAGUGCCGUUGUCCCCUGUGCGUCCUCCGUGUGUGCCACCGGUCGCUGGGCACGUGGAGCCACCUGGCUGUAGAUCGGGGUGUCCGUGCUGGUGGGCGCCCGCGGCCCCGGCCCUGUGCCCGCCGAAGCGCCACGCUUCUGCAC